CCUAAUUAUUGUUCAUUGUUCUAAAUUUAUCUGAAUAUGAGUAUAUGGAUCUCCCCUAAUUAUUGUUCAUUGUUCAUUAUUGAAGAUGAUGAUGUUGAAGAUAUCUGUUAAUUUGAUGAUGUUAACAAAUUUCAACAAAUUUUUCUGUGUGUAGGAAUUAUUUUAUAUAUUUCUGAUGUUGAAGAUGAUGGUGUUAAUUUGUUAGUCAUAACCUGUUGUGAUUAUUAUUUUGAUGUUAUUUUGAUUAUGUAUUACUUAUCAAGAGAACAACAAUUCUAAUAGUAGAAAAAUUACUAAGAAAAUGAUAUGUAGGACCACAGUUAUUCUAACCUGACUCACAUUUUUUAUCAAUUUUAAAUUUACAUCAUUCACUUCUUUUAAGAAAUAAAUUUCAAAGUUGAAAUUUGUUAAUUUGUUAAUUUUGAAGAUUAAUUUGUUAGUCAUAACCUGUUGUGAUUAUUAUUUUGAUGUUAUUUUGAUUAUGUAUUACUUAUCAAGAGAACAACAAUUCUAAUAGUAGAAAAAUUACUAAGAAAAUGAUAUGUAGGACCACAGUUAUUCUAACCUGACUCACAUUUUUUAUCAAUUUUAAAUUUACAUCAUUCACUUCUUUUAAGAAAUAAAUUUCAAAGUUGAAAUUUGUGAAUUUGUUAAUUUCAUUCAAAUAAUUCUCUAACUUCUGAAAUUGAUUCAGUUUUACCCUUAUGUUACAUUCUAUCCUCUUUUGGCAAUUAAGUUGAUCAAAUAGGACUAAUUUAAAAGACAAAUCGAUAAAUUUAAUUCUAAAACCUUUUUCCUAGUAUAAAAAAAAUCCAUUGAUAACAUGAGUACACAUUUUCCUUUUAACACAAUAUUUACUAGCAGACGUACUUUCAGUUUUGGCCAUGACCAUGUCUGCAGAAUGAGAACGGAUUCAGAGAGCAGCGGCUAGGGCUUCUUCACUUCUUCACACAGCACAGAUUCGCACCGUUACAAGCCUCCAGGACGACAUCAAUUUCUCUAUUUUUUUCCGCCAUUAACGAAUCAAUUUCCAGCCUCCCCAGGUAUUAUUUUGAUGGAUCUUUGAUCUUUUUCUUUAUUUUUUAGAAAUUUUGGGUCUACACUUGAAUCAAAAUCAACACUUGAAUCUCCGAUCUGUCUACACUUGAAGAAGGCUCUGUCUUUUUUUUUUAGAGAGGAGAAGAAGAAGGCUCUGUUUAGAAAUCAACUUUUGAUAAAAAAAAAAAUUAUAAUAAUAAAACACUUGGGUCUACACUUGAAGAAGGCUCUGUCUUUUUUUUUUUUUUAGAGAGGAGAAGAAGAAGGCUCUGUUUAGAAAUCAA